rnacentral:piRNA from 1 species
UGCCUUUUCCUCAAACCUGCCGC